rnacentral:rRNA from 1 species
UACGUAGGGUGCAAGCGUUAAUCGGAAUUACUGGGCGUAAAGCGUGCGCAGGCGGUUAUGCAAGACAGAUGUGAAAUCCCCGGGCUCAACCUGGGAACUGCAUUUGUGACUGCAUAGCUAGAGUACGGUAGAGGGGGAUGGAAUUCCACGUGUAGCAGUGAAAUGCGUAGAUAUGUGGAGGAACACCGAUGGCGAAGGCAAUCCCCUGGACCCGUACUGACGCUCAUGCACGAAAGCGUGGGGAGCAAACAGG